rnacentral:tRNA from 1 species
AUUAGGGUGGCAGAGCCAGGUACCAUGCACGGGGCCUAAGUCCCUGCCACCAAAGUUCAAAUCUUUUCCCUAACA